rnacentral:rRNA from 1 species
ACGGGAGGCAGCAGUGGGGAAUAUUGGGCAAUGGGGGAAACCCUGACCCAGCAACGCCGCGUGGAGGAAGACGGUUUUCGGAUCGUAAACUCCUGUCCUUGGUGAAGAGGAGAAGACGGUAGCCAAGGAGGAAGCCCCGGCUAACUACGUGCCAGCAGCCGCGGUAAUACGUAGGGGGCAAGCGUUGUCCGGAAUGAUUGGGCGUAAAGGGCGCGUAGGCGGCCCGGUAAGUCUGAAGUGAAAGUCCUGCCUUUAAGGUGGGAAUUGCUUUGGAUACUGUCGGGCUUGAGUGCAGGAGAGGUUACUGGAAUUCCCAGUGUAGCGGUGAAAUGCGUAGAGAUUGGGAGGAACACCAGUGGCGAAGGCGAGUAACUGGACUGUAACUGACACUGAGGCACGAAAGCGUGGGGAGCAAACAGGAUUAGAUACCCUGGUA